AACGAACGCUGGCGGCAGGCUUAACACAUGCAAGUCGAACGCAUCCUUCGGGGUGAGUGGCAGACGGGUGAGUAACGCGUGGGAACGUGCCCUUCAGUUCGGGAUAACCCAGGGAAACUUGGGCUAAUACUGGAUACGUGCGAGAGCAGAAAGAUUUAUCGCUGAAGGAUCGACCCGCGUCUGAUUAGCUAGUUGGUGAGGUAAUGGCUCACCAAGGCGACGAUCAGUAGCAGGUCUGAGAGGAUGAUCAGCCACAUUGGGACUGAGACACGGCCCAAACUCCUACGGGAGGCAGCAGUGGGGAAUAUUGGACAAUGGGCGCAAGCCUGAUCCAGCCAUGCCGCGUGAGUGAUGAAGGCCUUAGGGUUGUAAAGCUCUUUCGUCCGGGACGAUAAUGACGGUACCGGAAGAAGAAGCCCCGGCUAACUUCGUGCCAGCCGCCGCUGUAA
rnacentral:rRNA from 1 species